rnacentral:rRNA from 1 species
AUUGAACGCUGGCGGCAGGCCUAACACAUGCAAGUCGAGCGGAUGAAGGGAGCUUGCUCCUGGAUUCAGCGGCGGACGGGUGAGUAAUGCCUAGGAAUCUGUCUGGUAGUGGGGGAUAACGUCCGGAAACGGGCGCUAAUACCGCAUACGUCCUGCGGGAGAAAGUGGGUGAUCUUCGGACCUCACGCUAUCAGAUGAGCCUAGGUCGGAUUAGCUAGUUGGUGGGGUAAAGGCCUACCAAGGCGACGAUCCGUAACUGGUCUGAGAGGAUGAUCAGUCACACUGGAACUGAGACACGGUCCAGACUCCUACGGGAGGCAGCAGUGGGGAAUAUUGGACAAUGGGCGAAAGCCUGAUCCAGCCAUGCCGCGUGUGUGAAGAAGGUCUUCGGAUUGUAAAGCACUUUAAGUUGGGAGGAAGGGCAGUAAGUUAAUACCUUGCUGUUUUGACGUUACCAACAGAAUAAGCACCGGCUAACUUCGUG